rnacentral:rRNA from 1 species
UACGUAGGUGGCAAGCGUUGUCCGGAUUUACUGGGCGUAAAGGAUGCGUAGGCGGACAUUUAAGUCAGAUGUGAAAUACCCGAGCUUAACUUGGGUGCUGCAUUUGAAACUGGGUGUCUAGAGUGCAGGAGGGGUAAGUGGAAUUCCUAGUGUAGCGGUGAAAUGCGUAGAGAUUAGGAAGAACACCAGUGGCGAAGGCGACUUACUGGACUGUAACUGACGCUGAGGCAUGAAAGCGUGGGGAGCAAACAGG